UUUUGAGAUGUAUGUUUAGAUCUAGAGCAGGGGUUCUCAACCAGGGGGGAAUUCCCCCCAGGGGGGGAUUUCAGGUUUUCAGGGGGGGGAAUUGGGACCACAGAUUAGCAAACUCAAACUGUUAGAAUGUUGAUCUUUUUAUUG